GAUGAACGCUGGCGGCGUGCCUAAUACAUGCAAGUAGAACGCUGAAGGAAGGAGCUUGCUCUUUCCGGAUGAGUUGCGAACGGGUGAGUAACGCGUAGGUAACCUGCCUGGUAGCGGGGGAUAACUAUUGGAAACGAUAGCUAAUACCGCAUAACAGUAGAUGUUGCAUGACAACUAUUUGAAAGGGGCAAUUGCUCCACUACCAGAUGGACCUGCGUUGUAUUAGCUAGUUGGUGAGGUAACGGCUCACCAAGGCGACGAUACAUAGCCGACCUGAGAGGGUGAUCGGCCACCCUGGGACUGAGACACGGCCCAGACUCCUACGGGAGGCAGCAGUAGGGAAUCUUCGGCAAUGGACGGAAGUCUGACCGAGCAACGCCGCGUGAGUGAAGAAGGUUUUCGGAUCGUAAAGCUCUGUUGUAAGAGAAGAACGAGUGUGAGAGUGGAAAGUUCACACUGUGACGGUAUCUUACCAGAAAGGGACGGCUAACUACGUG
rnacentral:rRNA from 1 species